rnacentral:lncRNA from 1 species
CAAGCUUUCAGAAAUGCUCUCUGGGAAAUCCUCGGGGGAAAGAGAAAUGUGGAAAACAGAGUUGGGUGGGAAGUGCCGAGGAGGUGCGAGACGGCUGCCUGCCAGCACUCAGGAAGCUCCUUGUAGUCAGUGGAGCACAACCAGUGUGCUGAAAGACGCGGCAUUCCUUGUCCGGGAGCAGCUCCCAGAGUCAUGGUGACAAGUGGACAAGAACUUCUGUGCAGGAUGAUUUACCGGUGUCCUUAUUGGCAUCUGAAGAAGGACAAGGAAAGGUAUGUGAAAGCUGGCUUUCUCUCAAAGUCUCUGCAGAAGGGAUAAAAUGUAGUCUGAUUUUGCCUGAACUGAAUGACUUCUUGUCCAGCUGAGAUGUGUCUAUGUGUCAGGAGGAUGAAGCAUCAGUAAGUAGAGUGUUUGCUUAGCAUCCUUUGGUCCUUGUUCUGGCUGCAGAUGAGCUCACUGUAGAGCUGACUGGCUCCUGGCCGCAACCACCCAAGCUCCACUUGCUUUCUACCUGCCCUGGCCUCUGAUGUGCAGAUGCAGACAAAUGUGCAGAUGCAGGACUCACUUCCUCCUCUGGUGCUGUCAACAGCAUUGUCUUGAGGAGUGAUUGCACAUCCAGCUGUGCUGUGGGUGUGAUGGGAGGGCAGAAGAGGAACUGGGGAUGUACUGAGAGUAAAUCCAAGCAAACAGAACUCACCUGGAGAAUGCAGGAUGGAGGUAGGGG